rnacentral:tRNA from 1 species
GACCCCUUAGCUCAGCGGUAGAGUGUGUGAUUCCAGUAAUCACUGGAACUUCCACAAGGCCAUCCGUUCAAAUCGGGUAGGGGUCA